rnacentral:lncRNA from 1 species
GGUGCAUCCUACUCCAAAUAGUGAACCUGAACCUACAAUAGCCAACAUACAUAAUAAGUAUCUGAAUGGCUAAGGGCCAAAAAAAUAUGCAGUCAAACUAAAUAGUCUCACUGCAAAUAGCCAACACACCAUAGGUCAAAAGACUUGUCACACUACUGCAACAUCAAGAAAAUCACUGAUGAGUGAGUAGACAUCCAAGUGAUUUCUUAUAUUGGUCACGCUCAAUACAAGUUCUCUAACAACCACUUGCACUCUCACCUUAAUAUCUCCACACUACAGACUCAAGACUCAUCUGUCCAAAAGAGAGGUAAUCUAUAUACCUAUCUUAAAUAGAUUGAUCACUGUCCUCUGUGAUGAUCUUACGAUCGAAAGCAUUUAGAAAAUAACCACUAAUGAUGUAUGUCUCAAAUUCUCAACACCUUAAAAAUAUAUAAAAUUAUUUUUAUUAAUUUUUAAGAUAAAUCAUGGACACAUACUGUAU